GAAACAUUUGAAGUGACUUAGUGGCGGACGGGUGAGUAACGCGUGGGUAACCUGCCCUGUACUGGGGGACAACAGUUGGAAACGGCUGCUAAUACCGCAUAAGCGCACAGCAUCGCAUGGUGCAGUGUGAAAAACUCCGGUGGUACAGGAUGGACCCGCGUCUGAUUAGCUAGUUGGUGGGGUAACGGCCUACCAAGGCGACGAUCAGUAGCCGGCCUGAGAGGGUGAACGGCCACAUUGGGACUGAGACACGGCCCAGACUCCUACGGGAGGCAGCAGUGGGGAAUAUUGCACAAUGGGCGCAAGCCUGAUGCAGCGACGCCGCGUGAGUGAUGAAGUAUUUCGGUAUGUAAAGCUCUAUCAGCAGGGAAGAAAAUGACGGUACCUGACUAAGAAGCACCGGCUAAAUACGUGCCAGCAGCCGCGGUAAUACGUAUGGUGCAAGCGUUAUCCGGAUUUACUGGGUGUAAAGGGAGCGUAGGCGGCAUGGCAAGUCAGAUGUGAAAGCCCGGGGCCCAACCCCGGAACUGCAUUUGAAACUGUCAGGCUAGAGUACCGGAGAGGUAAGCGGAAUUCCUAGUGUAGCGGUGAAAUGCGUAGAUAUUAGGAGGAACACCAGUGGCGAAGGCGGCUUACUGGACGGUAACUGACGCUGAGGCUCGAAAGCGUGGGGAGCAAACAGGAUUAGAUAUCCUGGUAGUCCACGCCGUAAACGAUG
rnacentral:rRNA from 1 species